rnacentral:rRNA from 1 species
AACGAACGCUGGCGGCAUGCCUAACACAUGCAAGUCGAACGAGACCUUCGGGUCUAGUGGCGCACGGGUGCGUAACGCGUGGGAACCUGCCCUUAGGUUCGGAAUAACUCCCCGAAAGGGGUGCUAAUACCGGAUAAUGUCUUCGGACCAAAGAUUUAUCGCCUUUGGAUGGGCCCGCGUUGGAUUAGCUAGUUGGUAGGGUAAAAGCCUACCAAGGCGACGAUCCAUAGCUGGUCUGAGAGGAUGAUCAGCCACACUGGGACUGAGACCCGGCCCAGACUCCUACGGGAGGGAGGAAUGGGGAAUAUUGGACAAUGGGCGAAAGCCUGAUCCAGCAAUGCCGCGUGAGUGAUGAAGGCCUUAGGGUUGUAAAGCUCUUUUACCCGGGAUGAUAAUGACAGUACCGGGAGAAUAAGCUCCGGCUAACUCCGUG